UACGUAGGGUGCAAGCGUUAUCCGGAAUUAUUGGGCGUAAAGAGCUCGUAGGCGGUUUGUCACGUCUGCUGUGAAAACUGGGGGCUCAACCCCCAGCCUGCAGUGGGUACGGGCAGACUAGAGUGCGGUAGGGGAGAUUGGAAUUCCUGGUGUAGCGGUGGAAUGCGCAGAUAUCAGGAGGAACACCGAUGGCGAAGGCAGAUCUCUGGGCCGUAACUGACGCUGAGGAGCGAAAGCAUGGGGAGCGAACAGG
rnacentral:rRNA from 1 species